AACAGUGGUGAAUCUGAGUUGAUGUUAGACAACACGAUACGGCACUCUCUUUGAAUAUUUUUCAAUUUAAAAAUUCAUUUUCUAUUUUUUCCUUUUGAUUACUAUGAAUAUCGUACAUAGAACGUUUUCAUUUUUAAUUGCAUGUGGCUAUAAAACGAGACUCGCCUGCGUUACGGCAGCAACUGUUGGUGUCGGUGCAGUAGAUUUCUUCCUUUGGAAUGAAUUAAUAAGUGAAUGAAUGAUGGUGCUUCGUGGGUUUUUAUAGUAAGAAGAUGAUUGCUAUCCCUUCUCUAGGUUGACUGACCAAUAGCAGGCAAGUCCACCCCCAUAGUCAAUAGAUGCAGAAGGUUAACAUUUUUCGUAGAUGUAAUGGAAACCAUGUGGCGAAAAAAACUCAUACCUGGGUUGUUUGCAUGUUUUGUUUGCUAGUUUUAUGACUUCCAGGAAUGUGCGAUGAUAUUCUCUCUGCAUCUUAAGUUAUAGGCAAAUUGUUGAUCCAAAAAUUUGUUCCCUUAUCGGUGAGACUCCAGUUAUGGGAAUUCAUCUUGCUUUGAGAGGACCAAGUGGUAUCAUACGUUUAGGUGAUCCAGUUUACGUAGAUGUUCCGUAGGAAGAAAAAACGCCUGUGCACACACCGAUGGGUUUCUUGCGAGGAUGAGAUUAUUUGCAACGAAGAAAAUUUUUUUGUAGGAGACCAUAAUUCGUGACGUGAUCAAAUUAGAAGAAAUCGAAAAAAGUAAUCUUCCUCGUGUUUCCCUUAUAAUUUAACAUUUUAUUUCGGAAGAAAAAGAAGAAGUAGGUUUAAUAAGAAUUUUAUUCGAAGUAAUAUUUCGGUAUAAUGAUUGUUUAUAAGGAUUUACUAUAAUCGGAUUGUACGUAGUAAUAUACGUAUGUAAAAUAAUUGUCUGUUAAUUAGAGUAUAACUCAUUUUGUUGUAAUCUAUUUGAUUACAACAAAAACAGAUCUGACAAAAUCAGAUCUUUCAUCGUUACGAGUAUAAUCGCACGAUUAGCGAGUUAUAUUUUUGUAGAAAUUGUAAUAUAAUAAUAUAACUUGAUUUUGGAUAUGCACAGAGCUUAAUUACAAUUUUUAAUACACAUUCGCAAAAUGCAGUUUUUAGAACGUUCUAAUUUCUAA
rnacentral:lncRNA from 1 species